CUCAAAUCCGAUUUUGGAAACGUGAUCUACGAAGUCCGAUCUAUGUUUCUACCGAUCGUUUUGAGGUAAUGGGUUACUUAGAACUUGCUUGAAGCUACCCAAACCAUGGGUUUUAGUUUGGUGAAUUUUGACUCUGAUGCUUUGACUGCAGGUUCAGUGGAUCUAAUGAAUGACGUCAUAGCAUAGUACUUGGGAUGUUAUGAUUGAAGCCCGACGCGACAGUUAUAAUGGUUGGACCAUGUGUUGUCCGCCUUUUUGUAGACUUUGUUUAUGGCUUGUGUCGCCUGUGACACUUGUAUU